AUUGAACGCUGGCGGCAUGCCUAACACAUGCAAGUCGAGCGGAUGAAGGGAGCUUUCUCCUGGAUGCAGCUGCGGACGGGUGAGUAAUGCCUAGGAAGCUACCUUGUAGUGGGGGAUAACGUCCGGAAACGGGCGCUAAUAUCGCAUACGUCCUGAGUGAGAAAGUGGGGGAUCUUCGGACCUCACGCGAUCAGAUGAGCCUAGGUCGGAUUAGCUAGUUGGUUGGGUAAAGGCCUACCAAGGCGACGAUCCGUAACUGGUCUGAGAGGAUGAUCAGUCACACUGGAACUGAGACACGGUCCAGACUCCUACGGGAGGCAGCAGUGGGGAAUCUUGCACAAUGGGCGAAAGCCUGAUCCAGCAAUGCCGCGUGUGUGAAGAAGGUCUUCGGAUUGUAAAGCACUUUAAGUUGGGAGGAAGGGAAGUAAGUUAAUACCUUGAUGUUUUGACGUUACCAACAGAAUAAGCACCGGCUAACUUCGUG
rnacentral:rRNA from 1 species